AUUGAACGCUGGCGGCAUGCCUUACACAUGCAAGUCGAACGGCAGCGGGGACUUCGGUCCGCCGGCGAGUGGCGAACGGGUGAGUAAUGUAUCGGAACGUACCUUUCAGUGGGGGAUAACGUAGCGAAGUUACGCUAAUACCGCAUAUUCUGUGCGCAGGAAAGCAGGGGAGUCGCAAGACCUUGCGCUGAUUGAGCGGCCGAUAUCAGAUUAGCUAGUUGGUGGGGUAAAGGCCUACCAAGGCGACGAUCUGUAGCGGGUCUGAGAGGAUGAUCCGCCACACUGGAACUGAGACACGGUCCAGACUCCUACGGGAGGCAGCAGUGGGGAAUUUUGGACAAUGGGCGCAAGCCUGAUCCAGCCAUGCCGCGUGAGUGAAGAAGGCC
rnacentral:rRNA from 1 species